rnacentral:rRNA from 1 species
GACAGAGGUCCCGAGCGUUAGGCGGAAUCACUGGGCUUAAAGCGUGUGUAGGCGGAUUUGUAAGUACCUUGUGAAAUCCCACAGCUUAACUGUGGAACUGCUUGGUAUACUGCUUAUCUUGGGCCACUUAGGGGUUACCGGAACAAACGGUGGAGCGGUGAAAUGCGUAGAUAUCGUUUGGAACGCCCAAGGUGAAAACAGGUUACUGGGGAUGUACUGACGCUGAGACACGAAAGCCAGGGGAGCAAACGGG